CCAGUCUCUCUCCCCACGCGCACCACUCCGCCUCACCGACGAUGGCGCCGAGCGCCCCUGCUCCAACGCCGCCCCUCUGACCUGCUGCGUCGCGGCCUCCUACCCACCCUGCCACCUCCCGCAUUCCGCGCCAUUCUCUCGCGCAGACUCCGCGUCCAGGAGCUACGGCUUCCGCUACGCGGAGCGCUCAUGGCGGCCGACAUCCCGCUCGGCCCUCCUACCAGGCGCGCCAUCUGGCCCAGAUUGAUCCAGAGGAGGCGGAGCGGGUGAUGGGAUGGUCAGAUCGAUCUAGAGGAGGCGGAGCAUACGGCUGGUGUCGAGGGAAACGCGUUGCCGGAUCGAUUUUGGGGUUGCUUGCGUGCGUCCACACCCCUGUUGUGCCUCUCAAACACUCCUGCAGGCUACGUCUCCACAAGAUUUAUCCAUUGACAAAGCAAAUGAUUACGAAAAAUACCGGUGGGAGUACCGGGAGUACUAGCGCAAAUUUAGCUUUGAAGCUCUUAGUUCCUUUUGUGAGUCACUCUAACUUACUCAGAUAUAUAGUAUGUGUGACAAGAACCUGAAGGUGAGUGAAACCAAUCAAUACGUGAGUUAGAUCCUCUUCGUGCUAGACACCGGUACUUGGCAGAGAAGAGCAGGAACACUUGUGGCACUGUUGUCAUGAUUUAAAACAUGUAUUUUGAUUGAAAUUAUGCCCACUGAUGAUUGUAUAUGUAGUUCUGUUGUUGCAGCUUUAGAGGUACCAAGACAUCAAUAAUUUAGAUGAGAUGACAAGCUUGAAAUAAGAUUUUUAUCUCAGCGUGUAUGAACUGAACUAUUGGUUGGAUUUCUAUUUCGGUAAGUAACUCUGUGAAGUAUUUGUGCAGAAAGAUACACAACUGAAGCUUUCUUGUGCUUUGCUGCUACCGCAUGUGUUAAUUUAUACAUGUAUAGUCGCUUAUUUUUUAGUGAAAUUGAUAUGUUUAUGUUGCUUCUGGUAAGUCUCACCAGUUUGCUCGAUGAAGUUUGCACUUAUGUUAAAUCACUAACCAGUUGUAUAAAGUAGAACAUGUAUACCCAAUUACCCAGCGGAAAGCAUGGGCCUUUUUUAUGUUAUUAAUAAAAAAGAUCCACUAUGUUCUAACUUCUAGAUCCAAUAUGGAAGCGAUUUCACAACAGAUCUACGUAUUUUAUUUUGGCUUCCACUACUAUCAAGUAUUCCUUCUGAAAUACUUUACAGUGAGCUUGGUAAUAUAUUUUAGCAGCUUGCUGAGAUAUGACAUUAGGGAAAUCUUCAUUAGACGAUAGGUUAUCUUGCAGGUAAGUAUACAGUAAUUUUCGGAUUCUUCAUUUGAAGUUGGUGAUUCAGAGCAUCGAGGUGAUUAGCCUACUACACUCAGCAAGCGAGGUGAUUGCUGGAGUAUUAGGCCUAUAGAAGUGGCUUGACUCCUUUUUUAUUUUCAGCGGAUUAAUGCCUUCAUGGCUACUUCAGUUUGUGGUUCAACCCUUCCAGGUAUAUCUCAUGGUUCCUACAAAAUCUUAUUGAUAGAAUCCAGGCUUGCAUAUUCUUGUGUACUUGUAUUAUUUUUUAUGUGUAUCAGUACCCUCUUCUGUACCGGCAACUGCGCUAGAAGAUCUGAAACUACAGCUUAUACUUGGUUCUCCAGUUGUGAGGUCGUAGCUUGUAGGAGAGAGAGGUAAAUACACCGGCACAUGAGAUGGAAAGAUAGGAAGCCAAACAAGCAGCAUAUAAUGCUUUAAUUUAUGCCCAGUAAAUGCCAUUGACAUUAGCAUUAUUACUGCAGUUCGUCAUUUUGAUGGUGCUUAAAAUUAGAGUUGCUACUUGCAGUUUUUCCC